rnacentral:sRNA from 1 species
CACCAGACCACAAACGUGGAUGGAGUUUCACUCUUAUGGCCCAGGCUGGAGUGCAAUGGCGUGAUCUCAGCUCACCACAACCUCUGCCUCCCGGGUUCAAGUGGUUCUCCUACCUCAGCCUCCUGAGUAGCUGCGAUUACAGAUACAUAGCUCUGGCCAAGAAGUGUGGUUUUGAAGAGCCCAAACUGUAUCUGUUACCUGAUUUCAAAGAAUAUUCCACCUAGGAGAGACCCAGGUCCUGCAGACUUCCUCUGGACACUUUUGGCAGUCAUUGUUCCCAGCUGAUUCUGCAACAGAUGAAGGACGGAGGAUAGAAUCAUGAAUAGCAACAUCUUAAUUGCUGACUGGGUAUUGAUUCUAAGGAUACCCCCAAUAAACAUCUUUCGUGCUAAAGCCCAUUCCAGAAUUUACUUCCCAGCUAUCUUUGAUGUUCAUAUUGUCAGAGGUGGUGGCCGCUGAAACAGGCAAAGACAUGGAGCAUAUCUUGGGUCCAGGACCUUGGGAGUCCAGAGGAAGGUCUUUUUACCAUCAGCAUUCUCUACUGUGUUCAAUGACUGUCAGCCAAAGAUGGCCAGGUUCUCUACUGUGAUGGUGAAUUUUAUGUGUCAAUUUGACUGGACCAUGGGAUGCCCAGCUUUCCUUCAGAAAGAAAUGCAUUCAAAGAACCUACAUUCACAACAUAAAGAAAUAAAGCCUGCACCUACAGAUCUACACACAUGCCCAUGCACAUGCAGGAAGUGUUCAUCUAAGACUGGACCUUUUAGAAGAAAGCUGGCAUACAUUCGUGAAGGCAUGGGCUUCCAGGCAUGUCAUCUUCACUCACGAAGCACACACAAGACCGCCAAGCAUUAAGAUUCUCCUGUGGAGCCAGGCUACAAUCCUUUAAAUGAAGACAGACAGCUAGGUGGCUGCAGCCCAGCGCUACACCUCACCCCUCCCUCAGUGUCAUGCAGAAAAAAUGUAUUCAGAACUCAGAAGUGAAGUUGUGCAAAUCCAUCAUUGACACUAGCUUCAAGGUUACCUCGGGGGAGCAGAAUGUACCCCUGCCAGAGAGCUGGAUAGAUGAUGAUGGGGACAGAAAUUCUGGGGGAGUUGUAAAUGGCAGCCACUGCCUCUAUAGGAAACCCAAAGGGAACACAGCAGAAGAGGAGGUGGUGGAGGAGCCACUGCCCUCUCGAAGGGUUCAAUGUCAUUCUGCAGACACAACCAAAUAACUUUUUCUUCCCUGCUGCUCCUCCAUUUG